rnacentral:rRNA from 1 species
UAGUGUAGUUAAUAGCUGCAUUAUUUGACGUUAGCGACAGAAGAAGCACCGGCUAACUCCGUGCCAGCAGCCGCGGUAAUACGGAGGGUGCGAGCGUUAAUCGGAAUUACUGGGCGUAAAGCGCAUGCAGGUGGUUUGUUAAGUCAGAUGUGAAAGCCCGGGGCUCAACCUCGGAAUUGCAUUUGAAACUGGCAGACUAGAGUACUGUAGAGGGGGGUAGAAUUUCAGGUGUAGCGGUGAAAUGCGUAGAGAUCUGAAGGAAUACCGGUGGCGAAGGCGGCCCCCUGGACAGAUACUGACACUCAGAUGCGAAAGCGUGGGGAGCAAACAGGAUUAGAUACCCUGGUAGUCCACGCCGUAAACGAUGUCUACUUGGAGGUUGUGGCCUUGAGCCGUGGCUUUCGGAGCUAACGCGUUAAGUAGACCGCCUGGGGAGUACGGUCGCAAGAUUAAAACUCAAAUGAAUUGACGGGGGCCCGCACAAGCGGUGGAGCAUGUGGUUUAAUUCGAUGCAACGCGAAGAACCUUACCUACUCUUGACAUCCAGAGAACUUUCCAGAGAUGGAUUGGUGCCUUCGGGAACUCUGAGACAGGUGCUGCAUGGCUGUCGUCAGCUCGUGUUGUGAAAUGUUGGGUUAAGUCCCGCAACGAGCGCAACCCUUAUCCUUGUUUGCCAGCGAGUAAUGUCGGGAACUCCAGGGAGACUGCCGGUGAUAAACCGGAGGAAGGUGGGGACGACGUCAAGUCAUCAUGGCCCUUACGAGUAGGGCUACACACGUGCUACAAUGGCGCAUACAGAGGGCAGCCAACUUGCGAAAGUGAGCGAAUCCCAAAAAGUGCGUCGUAGUCCGGAUUGGAGUCUGCAACUCGACUCCAUGAAGUCGGAAUCGCUAGUAAUCG